CCAAUAGCGUAUAUUAAAGUUGUUGCAGUUAAAAAGCUCGUAGUUGAAUUUCGGGGUCAGUAGAUUGGUCGUGCCACUGGUAUGUACUGGUCUUACUGGCUCCUCCUUCCUGAUGAACCGUAAUGCCAUUAAUUUGGUGUUGCGGGGAGACUGGACUGUUACUUUGAAAAAAUUAGAGUGUUUAAAGCAGGCUAACGCUUGAAUACAUUAGCAUGGAAUAAUGAAAUAGGACGUUCGAUCUUAUUUUGUUGGUUUCUAAGAUUGACGUAAUGAUUAAUAGGGAUAGUUGGGGGCAUUAGUAUUCAAUUGUCAGAGGUGAAAUUCUUGGAUUUAUUGAAGACUAACUACUGCGAAAGCAUUUGCCAAGGAUGUUUUCAUUAAUCAAGAACGAAAGUUAGGGGAUCGAAGACGAUCAGAUACCGUCGUAGUCUUAACCAUAAACUAUGCCGACUAGGGAUCGGAUGAUGUUAAUUUUUUAAUGACUCAUUCGGCGCCUUACGG
rnacentral:rRNA from 1 species